rnacentral:antisense_RNA from 1 species
GCUGCAGUGCAGUGGCUCAAUCUCGGCUAAAUACAACCUCCGCCUCCUAGAGUCAAGCAAUUAUCCUGCCUCAGCCUCUCAAGUAGCUGGGACCACAGAAUAACCCAGCUCAUCCUGACUGAUGCCACCAUUUCCAGAUAAGAGAAAUGAGACUGAGAAAGAUUAAGAUAUUUUCCUAAGAUUGGACAUUGUGUUCCUACACACUGUGGUUGCCUUAUAGUUGAAAGAGAGUUUAUUUAAGCACAGAGAUCAAGCAAGAGUGGAGCACAGGACACAAUUUCAAGUUGCCUUGGGGACUGCUCUGUAGAACAAAAAAUCAAACUCAAGAUUUUAAGGAAAAAAGUACAAGUGAAGAGAAGGCAUGAUUACAAAAGUUGUUGAUCUAAUUCUCAUUGAUUUACAGAAAUAACAGUGGCUAAUGAUCGACUAUACAUUGUUGAAUUACGGGAUUUAUGGCAUUUAAAAAUGUAUUUAUUGAAAACUAAUUGUUUUUAUAUUUUUGAUGGAUUUAGGGGUACAGGUGCAGUUGUGUUACAUGGAUAUAUUUUGUAGAGAUGAAAUAUGGACUUUUAUGUACAAUUACCCAAAUAAGAUACAUUGUACCCAAUAGGCAGCAUUUCACUUUCACCCUCAUUCUAUCCUCCCACUC